rnacentral:rRNA from 1 species
AGUUUGAUCAUGGCUCAGAUUGAACGCUGGCGGGAUGCUUUACACAUGCAAGUCGAACGGCAGCACGGACUUCGGUCUGGUGGCGAGUAUGAACGGGUGAGUAAUGUAUCGGAACGCGCCUAGUAGCGGGGGAUAACUACGCGAAAGCGUAGCUAAUACCGCAUACGCCCUUCGGGGGAAAGCGGGGACCUUUCGGGCCUCGCACCUGAUAUUAGAGAGCGGCCGAUAUCGGAUUAGCUAGUUGGUGGGGUAACGGCUCACCAAGGCGAUGAUCCGUAGCUGGUUUGAGAGGACGACCAGCCACACUGGGACUGAGACACGGCCCGACUCCGGCGGAGGCGCAGGGGAAUUUUGGACAAUGGGGGAAACCCUGAUCCAGCCAUCCCGCGUGUGCGAUGAAGGCCUUCGGGUUGUACACUUUUGGCAGGAAAGAAACGGCACGGGAUAAUACCCCGUGCAACUGACGGUACUCGCAGAAUAAGCACCGGCUAACUACGUGCCAGCAGCCGCGGUAAUACGUAGGGUGCAAGCGUUAAUCGGAAUUACUGGGCGUAAAAGUGUGCGCAGGCGGUUCGGAAAGAAAGAUGUGAAAUCCCAGAGCUUAACUUUCUUGGAACUGCAUUUUUAACUACCGAGCUAGAGGUGUCAGAGGGAGGUGGAAUUCCGCGUGUAGCAGUGAAAUGCGUAGAUAUGCGGAGGAACACCGAUGGCGAAGGCAGCCUCCUGGGAUAACACUGACGCUCAUGCACGAAAGCGUGGGGAGCAAACAGGAUUAGAUACCCCUGGUAGUUCACGCCCUAAACGAUGUCAACUAGCUGGGUUGGGGCCUUCGGGCCUUGUAGCGCAGCUAACGCGGAAGUUGACCGCCUGGGGAGUACGGUCGUAAGAGAUUAAAACUCAAAGGAAUUGACGGGGACCCGCACAAGCGGUGGAUGAUGUGGACGAAUUCGAUGCAACGCGAAAACUUACCUACCCUUGACAUGUCUGGAAUCCCGAAGAGAUUUGGGAGUGCUCGCAAGAGAACCGGAACACAGGUGCUGCAUGGCUGUCGUCAGCUCGUGUCGUGAGAUGUUGGGUUAAGUCCCGCAACGAGCGCAACCCUUGUCAUUAGUUGCCACGAAAGGGCACUCUAAUGAGACUGCUUUGUGACAAACUGGAGGAAGGUGGGGAUGACGCCGGGUCUCGCCCUUAUGGGUAGGGCUUCACACGUCAUACAAUGGUCGGGACAGAGGGUCGCCAACCCGCGAGGGGAGCCAAUCCCAGAAACCCGAUCGUAGUCCGGAUCGCAGUUCGCAACUCGACUGCGUGAAGUCGGAAUCGCUAGUAAUCGCGGAUCAGCAUGUCGCGGUGAAUACGUUCCCGGGUCUUGUACACACCGCCCGUCACACCAUGGGAGUGGGUUUUACCAGAAGUAGUUAGCCUAACCGUAAGGAGGGCGAUUACCACGGUAGGAUUCAUGACUGGGUGAAGUCGUAACAAGGUAG